AAAAUCAACGCUGGCGGCGUGCCUAACACAUGCAAGUCGCACGAGAAAGGGGAGCAAUCCCUGAGUACAGUGGCGCACGGGUGAGUAACACGUGAAUAAUCUACCUCCGAGUGGGGAAUAACUGAGAGAAAUCUUAGCUAAUACCGCAUAACACUUACGGGUCAAAGCAGCAAUGCGCUUGGAGAGGAGUUCGCGGCAGAUUAGUUAGUUGGCGGGGUAAUGGCCCACCAAGACGAUGAUCUGUAUCCGGCCUGAGAGGGCGCACGGACACACUGGAACUGAAACACGGUCCAGACUCCUACGGAGGCAGCAGUGGGGAAUUUUGCGCAAUGGGGAAACCCUGACGCAGCAACGCCGCGUGGAGGAUGAAGCCCCUUGGGUGUAAACUCCUUCGAUCGGGAAGAUAAUGACGGUACCGAUAUAAGAAGCCCCGGCUAACUUCGUGCCAGCAGCCGC
rnacentral:rRNA from 1 species